GGGCCGUCCCCUCCUCCGCCCGACGGAGCGCUACCCACCACCCACCACACGCUAAACCCCACCACUCCCUCCGGAUCGACGCGGCGUGCCUAGGGUUUCGAAUUGGGGCGGGGGGCGGGGCGUUCCCCUCCUGCGUUUGGAUCGGAGAAGAGGAAGAGGAGCAAGAGAGAGAGGGAGAGGGAGAGAGCGGUGAAUAAAAGGAGAAAAAAU
rnacentral:lncRNA from 1 species